GACGAACGCUGGCGGCGUGCUUAACACAUGCAAGUCGAACGGAAAGGCCCUGCUUUUGUGGGGUGCUCAAGUGCCGAACGGGUGAGUAACACGCGAGUAACCUCCCCUUGACUGUGGGAUAACUUCAGGGGACAGGGGCUAAUACCGGAUAUGAGCUCCUGCUGCAUAGGGGGGGUUGGUAAGUUUCGGCGGUUGGGGAUGGACUCGCGGCUUAUCAGCUUGUUGGUGGGGUAGUGGCUUACCAGGGCUUUGACGGGUAGCCGGACUGAGAGGGUGACCGGCCACAUUGGGACUGAGAUACGGGCCAGACUCCUACGGGAGGCAGCAGUGGGGAAUAUUGCAAAAUGGGCGGAAGCCUGAUGCAGCAACGCCGCGUGCGGGAUGACGGCUUUUGGGUUGUAAACCGCUUUAGACUGUGACGCAGCGUGAGUGACGGUAAUGAGUAAAGAAGCACCGGCUAACUACGUG
rnacentral:rRNA from 1 species